GAUGAACGCUGGCGGCGUGCCUAAUACAUGCAAGUCGAGCGAACGGACGAGAAGCUUGCUUCUUUGAUGUUAGCGGCGGACGGGUGAGUAACACGUGGAUAACCUACCUAUAAGACUGGGAUAACUUCGGGAAACCGGAGCUAAUACCGGAUAAUAUUUUGAACCGCAUGGUUCAAAAGUGAAAGACGGUCUUGCUGUCACUUAUAGAUGGAUCCGCGCUGCAUUAGCUAGUUGGUAAGGUAACGGCUUACCAAGGCAACGAUGCAUAGCCGACCUGAGAGGGUGAUCGGCCACACUGGAACUGAGACACGGUCCAGACUCCUACGGGAGGCAGCAGUAGGGAAUCUUCCGCAAUGGGCGAAAGCCUGACGGAGCAACGCCGCGUGAGUGAUGAAGGUCUUCGGAUCGUAAAACUCUGUUAUUAGGGAAGAACAUAUGUGUAAGUAACUGUGCACAUCUUGACGGUACCUAAACAGAAAGCCACGGCUAACUACGUG
rnacentral:rRNA from 1 species